rnacentral:lncRNA from 1 species
AGUUGUUGGACAUCCGUAGUGACAACCGGAUGUGAAGAACUGGGCUCUGCCAUUGGUGGUGGAGGUGGAAGAUCUUUCCAACAGGAAGACUGCCUGGUAGAGUCGGUAGAAUUAUUCUGAGCUCUUAUUUUUGCCAUAAAAUUAAAAUUUUUGCCCCCUCCUUAGCGUGCCAAUCUGUUGCGGCCAAUUCUCUGGAAUGUCUGAUGUCGGAAAGAGCGCCUGCAAAAGAAGUCUAUGGUGACUGAAGUUGUGUCCAGUGGGGAUCCUCUGAUAUUGAUAUGUCCUGAUGUUGUCAUUAGAAUACCAUGAUUAUCAAAUUAAAUUUGACUUCUAAAAAAAUUAAAAACAUGUAGAAAGUAAUGAGUUGGAUCGAAUCCACAGAGAAGAC